rnacentral:tRNA from 1 species
GGGAAUAUGGUGCAGUAGUUAGCAUUUCUGAUUGUGGCUCAGGAGACCUGGGUGCAAAUCCCAGUAUUCCCA